CCUCAAUGGAGUUAUUUCAGUGGUGACAAGAGAAAACAGUACACUCCUAAAGUAAAUUUACUUGCAACGGUCAUCUUUGAGUAGGGUGGGAUCCUUCUUCGCAUCAAAUAGAGACGUCAGAAUAUUAUCUUCUGAGAGCUCAAUGAAUUCUAUCUGAAAGUCAUCAGGUGCUUUGAAGCUAUAAACCAGCUUGGUAUGCCACCACUUCAGACCUAAGGGGAGGAGUGCCAAUGGGGCUUGCAAGGAGAAAGCCCAGGUUCUACAUUAUAUAUUGGAGAGGAUUAUGGACCUGAACAGAACAAUAAAAAGCAGCCUAUAGCACAAU